rnacentral:rRNA from 1 species
GUCGAGCGGACAGAAGGGAGCUUGCUCCCGGAAGUCAGCGGCGGACGGGUGAGUAACACGUGGGCAACCUGCCCUUUAGAUUGGGAUAACUUCGGGAAACCGAAGCUAAUACCGAAUAAUACAUAGAAUCUCCUGGUUCAAUGUUGAAAGAUGGCCUUCGUGCUAUCACUAAAGGAUGGGCCCGCGGCGCAUUAGCUAGUUGGUAAGGUAACGGCUUACCAAGGCGACGAUGCGUAGCCGACCUGAGAGGGUGAUCGGCCACACUGGGACUGAGACACGGCCCAGACUCCUACGGGAGGCAGCAGUAGGGAAUCUUCCGCAAUGGACGAAAGUCUGACGGAGCAAUGCCGCGUGAGUGAGGAAGGCCUUCGGGUCGUAAAGCUCUGUUGUGAGGGAAGAACAAGUACCGGAGUAACUACCGGUACCGUGACGGUACCUCACCAGAAAGCCACGGCUAACUACGUGCCAGCAGCCGCGGUAAUACGUAGGUGGCAAGCGUUGUCCGGAAUUAUUGGGCGUAAAGCGCGCGCAGGCGGCUUCUUAAGUCUGAUGUGAAAUCUCGGGGCUCAACCCCGAGCGGCCAUUGGAAACUGGGAAGCUUGAGUACAGAAGAGGAGAGUGGAAUUCCACGUGUAGCGGUGAAAUGCGUAGAUAUGUGGAGGAACACCAGUGGCGAAGGCGACUCUCUGGUCUGUAACUGACGCUGAGGCGCGAAAGCGUGGGGAGCAAACAGGAUUAGAUACCCUGGUAGUCCACGCCGUAAACGAUGAGUGCUAGGUGUUAGGGGUUUCGAUGCCCGUAGUGCCGAAGUAAACACAU